CCUACGGGGGGCAGCAGUGGGGGAUAUUGGAAAAUGGGGGGAACCCUGAUCCAGCGAGGCCGCGUGGGUGAAGAAGUAUUUCGGUAUGUAAAGCUCUGUCAGCAGGGAAGAAAGCAAUGACGGUACCGGACCAAGAAGCCCCGGCUAAAUACGUGCAAGCAGCCGCGGUAAUACGUAGGGGGCAAGCGUUAUCCGGAAUUACUGGGUGUAAGGGGAGCGUAGACGGCUGUGCAAGUCUGGAGUGAAAGGCGGGGGCCCAACCCCCGGACUGCUCGGGAAACUGUAUGGCUGGAGUGCAGGAGAGGUAAGCGGAAUUCCUAGUGUAGCGGUGAAAUGCGUAGAUAUUAGGAGGAACACCAGUGGCGAAGGCGGCUUACUGGACUGUAACUGACGUUGAGGCUCGAAAGCGUGGGGAGCAAACAGGAUUAGAUACCCCUGUAGUC
rnacentral:rRNA from 1 species